UCUUUAUGAGAGGCUGAGCCAUUGCUAAACGGAAUCAAUCUUUAAGAUCUGCUAAGUAUUUUAUUGUUAUUUACAGAUACCCGCUCUCUUCCUCUCCCUCUCUGUGUGCGAAGUCCCCGUCCCUCUCCCUCUAUAACGCAGCAGUGCAGUGGAAUUUCGAAGACGAGGCGAGGGAUUCUAUAUUCUCCUCUGUUUUUUUUUUUUUUUAACUAAU
rnacentral:misc_RNA from 1 species